rnacentral:rRNA from 1 species
UAGGGAAUCUUCCACAAUGGACGAAAGCCUGAUGGAGCAACGCCGCGUGUGUGAUGAAGGGUUUCGGCUCGUAAAACACUGUUGUAAGAGAAGAAUGACAUUGAGAGUAACUGUUCAAUGUGUGACGGUAUCUUACCAGAAAGGAACGGCUAAAUACGUGUCAG